rnacentral:lncRNA from 1 species
UCAUAUUUAUUUGAGCGAUCAGAGAAAGAACGUCAAGAAAAGAGUUGAAGGUUCAUUAUGCAGCUAGCUUCAAUUUUGAGAUUUGUUAUUUUGUUAUUAUCCGUCGAUAUCUGUUCUUCUUUAAAAUGUUACAAAUGUUCCUCGGAUACAGAAACAAAUUGUUAUGUAAAACAAAAACUUGAAGAGUGUCAAGAAACUGAAAAAUCCUGUUUGACGAUGUAUCACACAAAUGUCGUAAAAUCUGGUAAUGGAACCUUGGUAAAAUCCCGAUACCUUAAGCUGUGUGCCAAACAAGAAGUAAAGCUCUGUCAGAGUUAUUAUUGUAAACCGUAUUCAGCUAGCCAAAAGUGCAGGGCUUUUUGUUGCAAUCAAAAUAGAUGUAAUGGAGACCAUUUUGUAAUAAGUGCAAAAUUUACAAGUUCGGAAAUGUAUUUUAGUUCAUUUGAAUGGUUAACUCUGAAUGCAACGGUUUUGAGCGGGAGUUUUUUAAUCAACAACAUUUUUUAGACAUGCCGAUUGUUUUGGUUUUGAAUUUAUUGCAGAAUUACAUCUUUUGCUACAACGGUUG